rnacentral:lncRNA from 1 species
UAGUGUUAUACUCCAAAGAGUAGACACAAACAACAGAGAUUCAAAAUUUUCAAGUAAUACAUCAAAGUUUGGUGUAAAAAUAUAUGAGACAAACGAAUAUAAAGCACUAGUAUCAAUCAAAAUAUGUGCGAGGUGAUUACAGAUAGUAUACGUACCCUGUAUCACGCUUGGAUUGGCUUCAAUAUCCUAUUGAGUGAGGUUGUAAACUUUGCCCUGAAUGAGAGGUCUGGCCUGGUUCUGAUUUCGCGGGCACGCUCUUGCGUAGUGUUGGGCACUUUGACAUAUGUCGUAUGUAUUGUUGAGACGACAACAAAGUCGAUCUUUAUGAUCCUUGCCGCAGUGUUAGCAAAUCCUAUCGCGUUCUGUUACCAGACCAUGAGGAGGAACUUUAGUCACUGGCCUAAGCCUCUUGUUCUGUUGAAUCGAUGCAGAGGAUGCUGGUCUGUAGUGUGAAACCGAGGGUAUAGGAUUCCCCACUGCUUGAGGAAAGAUGCGAAGGUUUCUCUCCAUUAGCUGUGCCUUAGCCAGAACAACUUA